GUUAAAAACGGAUAAAUGGUCCCUCUACAACGAAGCUUAAAAACGGAUAAAACUUCUUAAAGGUUUAUUAUGUACGUGUGACAGGUGUGUUGAGUCGACUCAAAGUUCAUGGUGUGGCAAGAGGGAUCUCAGAAGUGACUUGACAUUGCUUUUAAUUGGAUAGACGAAAAUAAUUCAACAUACAAUUGACAUAAUCAUUCAACAACAAAUGGUUUCUUGUUUUACAAAGCAUGGAGACACCAUAAGGUCUUAGCAGCACCUGAAUAUUCACAUUCCAACCACAAAGUUCUUGUGAUGUCUCCGCUUAAAAUCUUCCACCAUGAUUAAGGCAAGUCAACCCCUAUAUGUGCCAGAGGGAUCAGCAUUCUGAACGAUCCAAGGAUGCUCAAGUAGCUUGUGCAAUGGCAGGCGCUGUGCAGAGUCCUUGACAAGCAUCUAUCGUUAAAGGGGAAAAAAAAAUCUCAAAUUUAGGCAUCAUUCCUUGUAAAAACUACAAAUGUGACAGAUGUGGUGGAUUUUUAAAGCUUUAAAACAGAUUUUCACCUGACUAAUUAGGUCCUUGGCAGCAGAAGAAACGGCAGGUUUAGGAGGGAACUUUAGAUCCACUUGCACAAUCCUUCUGUAUGUGUCUGAGUGUUCCUUGGCCUCAAAAGGAGGUACCCCAUACAAAAACUCAUAACACAAAACUCCCAGGCUCCAGAUAUCAACACUAGCAUCAUGCUCUACGCUUUCCACCAUCUCAGGGGGCAGGUAAUCCAAUGUUCCACACAUCGUGCGUCUACGAUUAAAUGUAUGCACCGACCAACCAAAAUCUGCAAUCUUCAGCUCACCCUGUGCACCAACUAAAAGGUUCUCA
rnacentral:misc_RNA from 1 species